GACCGUGUAGCUCAGUUGGCAGAGCAUUGGGCUGGUAUUCCAAAGGUCGUAGGUUCGAAUCCCACUGUGGCCA